rnacentral:ncRNA from 1 species
CGGUAGACGCUACGGACUUAAAGAAUUUGAGCUUUAGUAAAAAAACUUAUUAAAUGUUAGCUUUCAAAUUCAGGAAAACUUAGGUUGAAAAAAAAUAUAAGUAAUCCUGAGCCAAAUAUUUUAUUUUUUACAAAUAAAAAUAUUAAAAAUAGAAAAUAGGUGCAGAGACUCGAUGGAAGCUAUCCAAAUGCAAAAAACUUUAACAUUAUUUAAUUAAAAUUUCUAUGUUAAUGGAAAUAAAAAAAUUUAACUAAAUUAUUAUUUAGUUAAAUAAUAAGUGAGGAUAAAGGUAGAGUCCAAAUUUAUAUGUUAAUUUUUUUUAGCAAUAAUGCAAAUUGUAGUAAAAAGAAAAUCCGUUGGUUUUAUUGACCAUGAGGGUUCAAGUCCCUCUACCCCCAAAACUAUGAAUUUUUUAUUUAUUGACAUAAAUAUUUAAGUUAUGUUAAGAUAGUCCAAAUAAAAAGCCGGAAUAGCUCAGUUGGUAGAGCAGAGGACUGAAAAUCCUCGUGUCAC